rnacentral:rRNA from 1 species
UGCAGUCGAACGCUUCUUUUCCCACCGGAGCUUGCUCCACCGGGAAAAGAGGAGUGGCGAACGGGUGAGUAACACGUGGGUAACCUGCCCAUCAGAAGGGGAUAACACUUGGAAACAGGUGCUAAUACCGUAUAACAAUCGAAACCGCAUGGUUUCGUUUUGAAAGGCGCUUUACGGUGCCGCUGAUGGAUGGACCCGCGGUGCAUUAGCUAGUUGGUGAGGUAACGGCUCACCAAGGCCACGAUGCAUAGCCGACCUGAGAGGGUGAUCGGCCACAUUGGGACUGAGACACGGCCCAAACUCCUACGGGAGGCAGCAGUAGGGAAUCUUCGGCAAUGGACGAAAGUCUGACCGAGCAACGCCGCGUGAGUGAAGAAGGUUUUCGGAUCGUAAAACUCUGUUGUUAGAGAAGAACAAGGGUGAGAGUAACUGUUCACCCCUUGACGGUAUCUAACCAGAAAGCCACGGCUAACUACGUGCCAGCAGCCGCGGUAAUACGUAGGUGGCAAGCGUUGUCCGGAUUUAUUGGGCGUAAAGCGAGCGCAGGCGGUUUCUUAAGUCUGAUGUGAAAGCCCCCGGCUCAACCGGGGAGGGUCAUUGGAAACUGGGAGACUUGAGUGCAGAAGAGGAGAGUGGAAUUCCAUGUGUAGCGGUGAAAUGCGUAGAUAUAUGGAGGAACACCAGUGGCGAAGGCGGCUCUCUGGUCUGUAACUGACGCUGAGGCUCGAAAGCGUGGGGAGCAAACAGGAUUAGAUACCCUGGUAGUCCACGCCGUAAACGAUGAGUGCUAAGUGUUGGAGGGUUUCCGCCCUUCAGUGCUGCAGCUAACGCAUUAAGCACUCCGCCUGGGGAGUACGACCGCAAGGUUGAAACUCAAAGGAAUUGACGGGGGCCCGCACAAGCGGUGGAGCAUGUGGUUUAAUUCGAAGCAACGCGAAGAACCUUACCAGGUCUUGACAUCCUUUGACCACUCU